rnacentral:rRNA from 1 species
UGGGGAAUAUUGGACAAUGGGCGCAAGCCUGAUCCAGCCAUGCCGCGUGUGUGAAGAAGGCCUUUUGGUUGUAAAGCACUUUAAGCGAGGAGGAGGCUACUUGGAUUAAUACUCUAGGAUAGUGGACGUUACUCGCAGAAUAAGCACCGGCUAACUCUGUGCCAGCAGCCGCGGUAAUACAGAGGGUGCGAGCGUUAAUCGGAUUUACUGGGCGUAAAGCGUGCGUAGGCGGCUUCUUAAGUCGGAUGUGAAAUCCCUGAGCUUAACUUAGGAAUUGCAUUCGAUACUGGGAAGCUAGAGUAUGGGAGAGGAUGGUAGAAUUCCAGGUGUAGCGGUGAAAUGUGUAGAGAUCUGGAGGAAUACCAAUGGCGAAGGCAGCCAUCUGGCCUAAUACUGACGCUGAGGUACGAAAGCAUGGGGAGCAAACAGG